UGAGGAAGAAAAAGAGGCAGAUAAAGUGCAUGGAGAGUGACCAAUGUUCUACAAGCAGUUUUAGGGGUGCUGCAGUUCUGGCUCCUGCAAGGUUGAUUGUGCAGAGCAAAACUCAUGCCAUGAGAUUGGCUUGCAAGAAAAUGCAAGUAACUUGCUAGAAACAGUCUCCCUGCCCCAAAUUUGGAAAACAAAGCUUUUCUUGAGAUGUCAUGACAAAAGAGGGAUCUUGGGAGAUGAUGCUGGGUUUGCCUACAGAAUUGCUGAAGGGAGGUUCCUGAUCCCCUCUUCAAUAUGGAUUUGGCUGAUGGAGGUGCCUAUCUCCAACAGAUAAGAAUCAGUUUUUACCUCUAAAGUCUGUCUUGACUCAGGAGGCAGCAGAUGCCAUAGCAAGAGACAGAGGUGAAGAUAGACAGUGAGGUACAGCACUUUCAGAAAUCUUCAGAAGGACAUUCCUGCAUACUGAACCCAGGGGUUGGGUGGGAAGGACAAAAAGUUCAUCAGAAUAGCAUUCUUCAUGAUGACACCUGCUGUCCUUGUUUUCAGGUGGACACAUCCCAGCUGCCUCUCAGAACAAGACCUGAAUGCUCACCACUCCUUGGCACAUUAACUUUUGCUCUGGAAAGGAACUCUGGUCUGAGGAAAGGAGCCGCAGUGACAUUCACUUGUGAGAAUACACACAUCAUGGAGUGCAGGCUUUUGGACAAUCUGCUGGUUUCCUGGAAAUGCCUCAGCUAAUCAUGAGGUCCGGCACUUCAGCACCAUCUCAUGAUCACAGCAAGUUGCCUGCACUGUGAUCCACAUUCAAAUGAGCAGGAGGAGAUGCAGAGAGCCUCUGACUCUGUCACUGUAGUCCCUUGUGGUGCAUCAGUGGCCUUACAGCAAGGUAAGAAUUCUGUAACAUUCACUAGAAAAAGUAAACACAGCCAUAAG
rnacentral:lncRNA from 12 species